ensembl:misc_RNA Metazoa_SRP Metazoan signal recognition particle RNA
GCUCGGCGCGGUGGUGUGUGCCUGUAGUCCCAGCUAACUCGGGAGGCUGAGGUGGGAGGAUCGCUUGAGCCCAGGAGUUCUGGGCUGUAGUGCACUAUGCCGAUCAGGUGUCCGCACCAAGUUUGGCAUCAAUAUGGUGACCUCCCAGGAGCAGGGGAACACCAGGUUGCCUCAGGAGGGGUGAACCAACCCAGGUUGGAAACGGAGCAGGUCAAAAUUCCCAUGCUCAUCAGUAGUGGGAUUGCGCCUGUGAAUAGCCACUGCACUCCAGCCUGGGCAACGUGGUGAAACCUUGUCUCUA